rnacentral:lncRNA from 1 species
GUUUUCUCUAAAGUCAAACCCAAAUUCCUGCUGCUGCAAAGACCUGAGGAAGUACGAGCAACCCCUGCUGAAUCUGAUGAAGAAGUAGAGAUAGAGAGGGAUGUUGGUGAUGUUGGAUCCUAAUUUCAGUUCCUAUCUCACCACAGGACCUUGGGUAAGUCAUCUGAUAUCUGUUUGUCCCAUCUGUAAGAUCAAUUAUAUGACACAAUAUAGGGAUCAAUGAACUUUUCUGUAAAGGGUCUGAUAGUAAAUUGUUCAGGCUUUGCUGGCCGUAUUGUCUUUGUCACAAUUACCCAACUCUGCCACUGUAGUGCAAAACCAGCCAUAACCAAUGCAAAUAAAUGGGUGUGGUUGUUCCAAUAAAACUUUGUAAGAACAGAUGAUUUGGCCUGUAGGUUGUAGUUUGCCAAGCAAUAGUAUAAUAUCUACUUAACAAAGAUAACUUAAUAUUUAAAGAGGUGCCAUAAGAAGAAAAGUUAAAAUGAUGCAUAGAGAAGGAAGACUUAAAAUGAUGGCAAAAGAGAAAAGUGGGUGAAGAGAAAAACUGGUACCAUAAGAUAAAUGUUUUCUACAAAAACAAACAAAACCCAAAUACCAAGAACUGAAAUCUACUCUUGGUGAAAAUCAUUUAUCAAGGCAUUUAAACCACUUUAGGCAUUGUAGUCAAUCUCUGGGGAAGUUGCUUGAUCUUUCUUCAAGUUUAAAAUAAUGCUAAAGAAUUAAAUCUUCUUUGUAGUGUUGUUAUAAUCUUAGUGGAUAGAGGACCAUGUUGGUAUAUAUAUUUCAUUACUAUUCUAAUUUUUUCCCCACUAGAAGUCAAUUUUUAAAAUCUUUUCAUCCAGCAGAUAUGUAAUGUACAAAAGGGAUAAAAAUAAUUUUGAUGUGCUUAUGUUUCCAUAUUUGUUCUCAAGUGUCAUCCUUCUGAUACACAUCAUGUGGCAACAUAUAUGUUGACACCAAUUUCUCUGAACUCUUUAUCAAAAAAAAUUUGCCAGCACUAACUGUAAAAUGAAACAUUAGUAUGGUCUGAGAGGGAAGAAAAUUCUGUUGUUUCUUAGAGUUUCUCCUAUAGUCUAUGAUUUUUCUAAAAUUUGAGAAGCAAAUUUAAUACAUUGAGAAUUUUGUAGGUAUACAGCUCUACAAUCUCUUACCUAAAACCCUGAGGCUAGAUGUUUCAGAAUAGAGGACUUCACAUUUAAGAAAGGCAAUAUGGGCUGGGUGCAGUGGCUCAUGCCUGUAGUCCCAGCAUUUUGGGAGGCCAAGGUGGGCAGAUCACCAGGUCAGGAGUUCAAGACCAGCCUGGCCGAUGCGGUGAAACCCUGUCUCUACUAAAAAUAUAAAAAUUAGCCAGGCGUGGUGGUGCACGCCUAUAGUCCCAGCUACUCGGGAGGCUGAGGCAGAAGAAUCGCUUGAACCUGGGAGGCAAAAGUUGCAGCGAGCUGAGAUCGCACCACUCCAGCCUGGAUGACAGAGUGAGACAUCGUCUCUAAAAAAAAAAAAAAGAAAAGAAAAAAGAAAGACAAUAUGGUUCAUAUACCACAUAGAGCUUGUAUGCCUCCAGGGAAAUCUGCAGCAGCACCCCACAACCAAAUAAAGUACUUUUGCUACAGCCAAAUUAUCUACACCAAAUAGAAUAAAAGACCAUGAAUAGCCUCAUGUCAAUUCAGUUCAGAUUUUGCUGCCAAAUGUCUUUGUUUCAAAGUUUUGCAAAAUCUUUUGGUUUUCAGAGCCUUCUGAAUUUUUGAAUUUUGAAUAAGGAACUAUGUGUCUGCGGUUUGUAAAAACAAAACAGAAAACUCUUUCUGAAGACUUUUUCACCUCAAAGAGACCCACAGUUGACUGUUUGAAUGAUACACACUUAUAACUGAAGAUACUUUCCAGCAUGAAUUCAAGAAUAAGCCUCAAUUUUCCCACUAGCGGCACAGUUACCAAGAGAAAUGUGCUCCCUCCGCUCCAGUGAGUCUCGAUUUCUUCUUAGAGCUGACACACAUGGCACAGAACCCACUUUCAUCAGUACUCAUGGUCAUUCUGGCAGUGAUUCUCAACCACAAGGGCUUGUCCCCAGAGGACAAAUGACCCUGUUAUGAGCAAUCUUCUAUCCUCUAAGAAUCUUUGGUUUUUCUCCCCAAUAAAAAGAUGAUUCUUCCAGCUCUGGCAAUAAUUGCAACUUAAUAUUAACUAACAUUGAGAUCUGUAGAGCCCUUUAAGAAUUUGAUCAUUUUAAGUCCAGAGCAUUAAUUUUUAGUCCUGGCUGUACAUUAGAAACACACACAGAACUUCGUUAAAAACAGAUAUCCAGGCAGCACCAGAUCAACAUACUUAGAAACUCAAAGCACCAAAAAGAUGAUAGUGUCCUCCUUCAUGCAUAAUUCAAAAUAAAAACAAUACUAAAUCAUAAAACACAUGGAAGUAAGUCCACCCUGGAUGGCAUUUUUCUUACGAAGCUUGGGUACAGUCUUCUUCCUUUUUUUUUUUUUUCCUUUUUUAAUGCCCCUGCUUUGCUACAGCCCUCAGCAUGAACUUAUUCUUCCUACCAGAUAAUCCAGCACUGGGUGAGCCUUCCAAACUGGUAGUCUGAGCCCCAUGUGGAAGAGGGAGGAGAAGAGAAAGACAGCGGUAUGGUAGAACAUCCCAGACUGCCAUGCAGUCUAAGAAAGGUUCUGCAAGGCCACUGAAGAGUCUUCAAGCCAAAGUCGGCUGUCAGAGGAGUUCUGUGUCUCCUAGAAUUUCCAGACUAAGUAUGUCUUAGUAUAACUUCAUACUCAGCCAGUCGCUGAGAGAAACCACGGAAGGCAUGGGCUCAAUGCAAAUACAGCAAUGGAUUUCAAAGUGCAGCUGGGCCCCUAGGUCAACCGCAUUCUCUGUAAUCCCCCAGUAUUGGAGGUCUCUGCCACAGAUCUCUAGUGUGAUAAAGGGGCUCAGUACCCCUGAGAAAAAGCUUUUCUGACUAGUAUCUUGUAAAGUCCUCCAUAACUAUCAAUAUAACUUCUCACUAUUUUGGGAUUGGAAGAGGAAAAGGGAAAGACAAAAAGUAAAGCAAAUGUUACUUGAAUAACACAAACCCACAAAGUUUUCACACCUGUAAACAAUGUGCCAAAUGUUUUAUUUCUCUCAUAUGCAAGUAAUUACCUCUCAAAGCAUUUUUAAAAAACGCAUUAUUACACUUUACCAAUGAAUUAUUUCUGUCCCUGGAGAUUAAAUCAAAUCAAAAUGUUACAAAUAGUAUCAGUAUGAUAUAAUUUCUUAAAUAUAUGGGACAUUGUCAACAGCUGUGAUUCAUAUGAAAAAUAUAAUCAGAUAUCUCAAAUUCCUAAUUCUGUUUUAAAAACACAAAACACUAGAACAGUUGCUAUGAAAUUACUGAUAAUGAUCCCUUUAAUAAACUGCAAUUAACCACUAAUAUAGAAAUUCAAUUUAAGCAAGAAGUUUUAUAUAUUAUACUUUACAGAAAAAAAUAAUUUUGAAAAAGUAAUGACAAACAGAGAUCAAACAUUUAGGGCAUUAGUUACUGCAUUCUCUUUUUAGAAUAUACAUUAAGUAACACUAGUAAAAUUUAAAGUUUUAUGACCAGGCCUUAAAAAACAUGAAUGAUGAUGACAGAACCACUAUCACACAUAAACAAAAAUAGAGCAAACCAAGCGUGUCCACAUCUCCAUGAAUUCAGUGAUUUGAAAUAAAUGUUGUUAUGUUAAACAUUAUGAGCAAAUCUAAAGGUUCAACCAAAAAACUUACAUAUUUUUGAGUAUUUUUUAAAGUUUUAAUAGUUUAUCUCUGAUCAAGGAUGGAGAAAGGACAAAAAAAAAUACUGUCCUGAAUUGAUUCUCACAGGGCCUGCUCCCUCACAGAACACAGUGUCAUUAUAUAUGCCUUAUUUAUAUAUAAAACAACCAAAGAAUUUUCAUUCUUCUUAGUAAGUAUUUAAAAUACAUUCUAGGCGUGCAUUAGGAGUAAAUGUUAAUUUGUGAUGCCCUUAAAAGACUUUCAACCUGUAAGAAACAAUUUCUGGGAAUAUAAAAAUAUUGAAUUUUACAUAUUUCAGAGUCUUGAGAAACUUAAAGUGCAGUAUUUUCAUGUAUCAGCAAAUAAUAAUUGUGUCA